GGGGGCGAAACGGCUUCGACAGGGAUCGGCGGACGCAGUGGGAGCGAGCCGGGGGCCCGCGCCCCGUAAGCAAGCGGGAAAAACAAUAGACGCCGACAGCGAGUUGGCUCUGGCCGCUUAAUAGCGGCCCGUUCCGCCCCGGGAAGCCCGCGACCGGGGACGGGGCGUCGUGCAGCGGGCUUGCCGAGGUCCAACUCCCGUAAGGACCGAGGGACAACCCUGACGGGAUAGCCGAGUGCCAGCCUUCCGCCGGGCGGUCACGAGGCGAAAUGAAAACGGCGGAUACGCUCGUAGAGCCCACGCGAUCGGGUUUCUGGACGGGGGUUCGACUCCCCCCGCCUCCACCA
rnacentral:tmRNA from 1 species